CUACGGGAGGCUGCAGUCGCGAAUCAUUUACAAUGCACGAAAGUGUGAUAAUGCGAGCCAAAGUGUUUUUCGUAUAGAAAAACUUUUUCUUACUGUAAAAAUGUAGGAGAAUAAGGACUGGGAAAGACCGGUGCCAGCCGCCGCGGUAAUACCGGCAGUUCAAGUCGCAUCCCUUUUUAUUGGGUCUAAAACAUCCGUAGCUUGUUUAUUAAGUCUCUUGUGAAAUCCCACGUCUCAAGCGUGGGGCUUGCAGGGGAUACUGGUAGACUAGAGAUCGGUAGACGUAAGGAGUACGCCGGAGGUAGUGGUAAAAUACGUUAAUCUUCGGUGGACUAACAAUCAGCGAAGGCACCUUACGAGGACGAAUCUGACAGUGAGGGAUGAAGGCCAGGGGCGCAAAACGGAUUAGAUACCCCCGUAGUC
rnacentral:rRNA from 1 species